rnacentral:tRNA from 1 species
UCCCUGGUAGUCUAGGGGUUAAGACUUUGUGCUUUCACUGCUGGGGGCCUGGGUUCAAUCCCUGGUCAGGGAA